rnacentral:rRNA from 1 species
AAUCUUCCACAAUGGACGGAAGUCUGAUGGAGCAAUGCCGCGUGAACGAAGAAGGUUNNNGGAUCNUCAAGUUCUGUUGUGAGNGACNAACAAGUACGAGAGUAACUGCUCGUACCUUGACGGUACCUCAUUAGAAAGCCACGGCUAACUACGUGCCAGCAGCCGCGGUAAUACGUAGGUGGCAAGCGUUGUCCGGAAUUAUUGGGCGUAAAGCGCGCGCAGGCGGCCUUUUAAGUCUGAUGUGAAAGCCCACGGCUCAACCGUGGAAGGUCAUUGGAAACUGGAAGGCUUGAGUACAGAAGAGGAAAGCGGAGUUCCACGUGUAGCGGUGAAAUGCGUAGAGAUGUGGAGGAACACCAGUGGCGAAGGCGGCUUUCUGGUCUGUAACUGACGCUGAGGCGCGAAAGCGUGGGGAGCAAACA